CCAUACCAAGUUAAAAAAAAAACCGGUUCUCGUCUGAUCAUAAGUUAAGCAAUGUCGAGCCAGAUCAGUACCUAGAUGGGUGACCGAUUGGGAAUACCAGGUGUUGUAAG